rnacentral:rRNA from 1 species
UACGAAGGGGGCUAGCGUUGCUCGGAAUCACUGGGCGUAAAGCGCACGUAGGCGGCUUAUUAAGUCAGGGGUGAAAUCCUGGAGCUCAACUCCAGAACUGCCUUUGAUACUGGCGAUCUUGAGACCGGGAGAGGUGAGUGGAACUGCUAGUGUAGAGGUGAAAUUCGUAGAUAUUAGCAAGAACACCAGUGGCGAAGGCGGCUCACUGGCCCGGUACUGACGCUGAGGAGCGAAAGCGUGGGGAGCAAACAGG